rnacentral:tRNA from 1 species
GGGGCAGUAGCUCAGUUGGUAGAGCAUCACGUUCGCAACGUGGGGGUCGUGAGUUCGAAUCUCAUCUGCUCCA